GUGCCAGCCGCGCGGUAAUACCGGCAGCUCAAGUGAUGUCCCAUAUUAUUGGGCCUAAAGCGUCCGUAGCUGGCUACGCAAGUCCGUCGGGAAAUCCACCCGCCCAACGGGUGGGCGUCCGGUAGAAACUGGCCGGCUUGGAACCGGAAGGCUCAGAGAGUACGUCCGGGGUAGGAGUGAAAUCCCGUAAUCCCGGACGGACUACCGAUGGCGAAAGCACUCUGAGAAGACGGCUUCGACAGUGAGGGACGAAAGCUCGGGUCUCAAACCGGAUUAGAAACCCGAGUAGUCU
rnacentral:rRNA from 1 species